rnacentral:rRNA from 1 species
UGUUACCUACGGGGGGCAGCAGUGGGGAAUAUUGGGCAAUGGACGCAAGUCUGACCCAGCAACGCCGCGUGAAGGACGAAGGCUUUCGGGUUGUCACCUUCUUUUAAGGGGGCAGAGCAGCAGACGGUACCCCUUGAAUAAGCCACGGCUAACUACGUGCCAGCAGCCGCGGUAAUACGUAGGUGGCAAGCGUUGUCCGGAUUUACUGGGUGUAAAGGGCGUGCAGCCGGCGAGGCAAGUCAGAUGUGAAAUCCGCGGGCUCAACUCGCGACCUGCAUUUGAAACUGCUUCCCUUGAGUAUCGGG